GAUGAACGCUAGCUACAGGCUUAACACAUGCAAGUCGAGGGGAAACGAUGAGAGAGCUUGCUCUCUUAGUCGUCGACCGGCGCACGGGUGAGUAACGCGUAUCCAACCUGCCUCUGACCAAGGGAUAACCCGUCGAAAGUCGGACUAAUACCUUAUGCAGUCGUCGGAAGUCAUCUGAUGACGACGAAAGAUUUCAUCGGUGAGAGAUGGGGAUGCGUCUGAUUAGCUUGUUGGCGGGGUAACGGCCCACCAAGGCGACGAUCAGUAGGGGUUCUGAGAGGAAGGUCCCCCACAUUGGAACUGAGACACGGUCCAAACUCCUACGGGAGGCAGCAGUGAGGAAUAUUGGUCAAUGGGCGUAAGCCUGAACCAGCCAAGUAGCGUGCAAGAUGACGGCCCUAUGGGUUGUAAACUGCUUUUAUGCGGGGAUAAAGUGAGGGACGUGUCCUUCAUUGCAGGUACCGCAUGAAUAAGGACCGGCUAAUUCCGUG
rnacentral:rRNA from 1 species